UGUAUACCUACUGCAUGUCCUACAAUUACUGAUAGGCGUCCUCGUCGACGACAUAUCAGCUUCAUCCCCAGUCCUGGUCGAUGCCACUGAGUUGACAGACCGAUCGGGAGACCGACGAGGAUCACUCAGCUGAUGGUUUAGUGUCUGUAACGACAUGGCGACGCACACUAUGGACUGAGUGUACGAUGCAGAUGAUGAAGUUGUACUUUAGCAACACUCCAAACUCCUAGAUGUUUUUCCUGAAAGCUGGAACCUUGUGAAUAUCCUACGUGGCUGAUUCUGUCUAUGUAUGGACAUGUAUGGACCUGGGAACAUGGACAUGGAUAGGCAGAAAUGACAUAGGGAACAUGUGAAUAGACAGACUUCGCCCACUCUCUUGACAAGCCAAAAUGCCAAGGUGAAGAUGAAAUGGAGUUUUGAUGGAUAAGUGUCGUCCACUAUGUUGACAAGCCAAAAUGCCAAGGUGAAGAU